rnacentral:piRNA from 1 species
UGGGGAUGCCAUGCUCUAGGAUGCAGCCUC